rnacentral:rRNA from 1 species
UUCCAGACUCCUACGGGAGGCAGCAGUGAGGAAUAUUGGUCAAUGGCCGCAGGGCUGAACCAGCCAAGUCGCGUGAGGGAUGACGGUCCUAUGGAUUGUAAACCUCUUUUGUCAGGGAGCAAAGGGCGCCACGUGUGGCGUUUUGCGAGUACCUGAAGAAAAAGCAUCGGCUAACUCCGUGCCAGCAGCCGCGGUAAUACGGAGGAUGCGAGCGUUAUCCGGAUUUAUUGGGUUUAAAGGGUGCGUAGGCGGGAUGCCAAGUCAGCGGUAAAAAUGCGGUGCUCAACGCCGUCGAGCCGUUGAAACUGGCGUUCUUGAGUGGGCGAGAAGUAUGCGGAAUGCGUGGUGUAGCGGUGAAAUGCAUAGAUAUCACGCAGAACUCCGAUUGCGAAGGCAGCAUACCGGCGCCCUACUGACGCUGAGGCACGAAAGCGUGGGUAUCGAACAGGAUUAGAUACCCGAGUAU